AUUGAACGCUGGCGGCAGGCCUAACACAUGCAAGUCGAACGGUAACAGGAAGAAGCUUGCUUCUUUGCUGACGAGUGGCGGACGGGUGAGUAAUGUCUGGGAAACUGCCUGAUGGAGGGGGAUAACUACUGGAAACGGUAGCUAAUACCGCAUAACGUCGCAAGACCAAAAAGGGGGACCUUCGGGCCUCUUGCCAUCGGAUGUGCCCAGAUGGGAUUAGCUAGUAGGUGGGGUAACGGCUCACCUAGGCGACGAUCCCUAGCUGGUCUGAGAGGAUGACCAGCCACACUGGAACUGAGACACGGUCCAGACUCCUACGGGAGGCAGCAGUGGGGAAUAUUGCACAAUGGGCGCAAGCCUGAUGCAGCCAUGCCGCGUGUAUGAAGAAGGCCUUCGGGUUGUAAAGUACUUUCAGCGGGGAGGAAGGGAGUAAAGUUAAUACCUUUGCUCAUUGACGUUACCCGCAGAAGAAGCACCGGCUAACUCCGUGCCAGCAGCCGCGGUAAUACGGAGGGUGCAAGCGUUAAUCGGAAUUACUGGGCGUAAAGCGCACGCAGGCGGUUUGUUAAGUCAGAUGUGAAAUCCCCGGGCUCAACCUGGGAACUGCAUCUGAUACUGGCAAGCUUGAGUCUCGUAGAGGGGGGUAGAAUUCCAGGUGUAGCGGUGAAAUGCGUAGAGAUCUGGAGGAAUAC
rnacentral:rRNA from 1 species